rnacentral:lncRNA from 1 species
GAAAAUAAAAUAAUGUAAACACAAUGUUUUGAAUUGAAAAGUCGAUGAGAAAGUAAAUUGUUUUGUAGUACAAUUAUAUAGGAAUUGAAAAUCUCUCAUUUUUUUUUCUUCUAUAAUUGAUACUUUCUGAAAUUUGUAUUCGUCGGCUCAUAUUUGUCAAAUUGGUGGUUCAAUUUAACACACCACAUGCUGGAUUAUCUUGUUUCUUGACAUAUACACUACUUUUGUUUUUGUCGACCCUUUUCUUGUUCAACUUGUGAUUUCUGCCAAAUCUUUAUAUGCUUUCAAUAGAU